UCCCACGGUUGUCUUAGAAACCAGUCCCCGAGGCUUGGCAGAGCAGGAGCCCUCCGUGGCAGUGCUUGGGUGUCCAGGCUCUGAGGCUCCGGCCUCACCUCUCCACGGGGUCGAAGGGAACGUCUCCGGAUGCCAGGAGUCGCAAAGGGCCGACCAUGAUGAUGAAACCCCAGGCGGAGACGGGGGAAGCAGCACGGGAUCCCAGCCUCAGGCCUGCACAGACGGUGUUGGUUGGGACCAAAUGGGUCACCGGCUACUGAAAAAGAAUCCAGACCUCUGAAAGGGAUCCGGGACCGCGGUCUUUGCUUGCUUCAUGAAAAAUCGGCUGGUCUCCAAACUCGCGAAGGAAAAUUCAAGGCGCCUCAACUCCU
rnacentral:lncRNA from 1 species